rnacentral:rRNA from 1 species
ACGCUCGACACCUACGUGAGGCAGCAGGUGGGGAAUAUUGGGCAAUGGGCGCAAGCCUGACCCAGCAACGCCGCGUGAAGGAAGAAGGCUUUCGGGUUGUAAACUUCUUUUAUUAAGGACGAAGCAAUGACGGUACUUAAUGAAUAAGCUCCGGCUAACUACGUGCAGCAGCCGCGGUAAUCUGAGCGGGCUGGCAAGGC